GUUCUGAUGAAGAGUCCCAAAAUAGGACGAAACAGCUGUUUAGUAC
rnacentral:hammerhead_ribozyme from 1 species